GGCAAUGCUUGCUGUUUGCCGCACAUGUGGAGAAAGAAAACUGGUCCGAAAAGGAGUAAAUUCGCAACUAAUUACCACAUUGAGUAUUCGAGACGUAUCAUCAAUCACCGUGGCUUUCCAUCACACUUAAAAGAGAUGUCUAAAUCUGUCAGUGUUGAAGCCUCACAGACUAAUCUGCUCAGCGUCCUGAUUUACAGAUGAACUAAAUCCGAUCUUCAAUCAUGGUGGCUGUCCAGCACACUGAGCAGAGAUGUCUCAAUCUAUCAAUGUUGAGGCAAGGGGUAAGUUCAGUAGUUUGAUUAAAUCUGGGUCUAAAAUUGAAAAUUCUCAUGGGGUUAGUCCAGCAGUUUUAUCAAAUUUAGGCUGAAAAAUAAAAAUAAAUCUCAAGGGGUACAUGUAAGUCCAGCAGCUUUAUUAAAUUUUUGACCUAAAUUCAAGAAAAAUCACAAAUCAAGGUUGGGUACAAAAAAUGAACAAAUCACAACUGGAGGUCUAGGCUUGGAUAAAAUAUUAAAGUGAGAAGAAAAUGUAUUUUUCAACGUUGCCACCCUAUGUUUGAUAUUUACAGUCCCUUACUCAUUAUUUCCUUCUCAUUCCAUCUUUUUCCGUCUGUAUAUCGAGUAAUCAUCAAUCAUGUUGGCUGUCCAUCACACUGAGCAGAGAUGUCUCAAUCUAUCAAUGUUGAAGCCUUGCAGAGUCGACAGCACUCAACUGUGACAUCUCACAUCUAAAGAUCAAAAUCCAGACGGAGAGUGUCGGAUCUCACAAGGAGUCAGCGUCCAUCAUCGGUAGAGAUGCACAACCUUUUUGUAAUUUGUAAUUGUUUGUAUAUUUUAGGGAUUAAGUUAGAAAUAAUUGUGUGGUGAGUCGUAACUUUCUCUAUUGUGUGGUGAAUCAUUCAAACAUUUCGCUGUGUGGUGAAUCACUGCACUUUUUGUUGUGUGGUGAAUUGCUGACACUUUUUGGUGUGUGGUGAAUUGCUGCCACUUUUCG